CUGAGUGAGGGGUUUAGGUAAACAAGGUGUGACUGGGAUUGGAAGAGUCACAAACCUGUUUGUUAGAGCAAUGCUGAAGAGUUUCAGGAAAAGAAUUUCAUCAAGGCUGGCACAUCUGUCCUCAGACACUUGAAGGAUUCCCUGGAGGAAGGAGGACUGAACUUGCCCUACAAGAUCCUGCGGGGCAAAGAACUGUAAGCAGAGACAAAAUGAAAGCCCUCUAGGCCCACAAUUGAUUCUAACGGCUGUGAGGGAAUGAGCUUCAACUACUGUUGAUGGGAGGGACUGUGUGCCAGGCACUGUGCUAGGGACUCUCAUGCAUGAUCUCAUUCAUCUUCUGCAUAACCCAAUGAGGUAGGUGCAAUUACAUCUAUUUUCCAAAGACACAACUGGAGAGGCCAGCAACUUGCCCAUCAUCACACAGCCAGGAAGGAGCCUGGGCCUGGGGAACAAUGCAUCCAUAGCCUCUGUGCCCCUUUCAUGCCCUGCCACAAGCAGAAUGGGAAAUGCUUCCAACCAAACUUCUGUUUCAAAGAGUCCCUGUGAACGGGCAUAGUCAUGAUGAAAACUGCCAUUCGCACUCAAAUUACUGCUGCUUUUGUGACUGCUUCUUAUGACCUUGCCAUGACUUGACUUGAUUAUGCUUUUGCAAAUCUCUCUUUACAUAUCUGCAGCUGAGCCUUCUUAAAUCAUUAUACUUCUGAAUUAAGAUGGUGAAUUGA
rnacentral:lncRNA from 1 species